AGCGAACGCUGGCGGCAGGCCUAACACAUGCAAGUCGAACGAACCCUUCGGGGUUAGUGGCGGACGGGUGAGUAACACGUGGGAACGUGCCUUUAGGUUCGGAAUAACUCAGGGAAACUUGUGCUAAUACCGAAUGUGCCCUUCGGGGGAAAGAUUUCCCGCCUUUAGAGCGGCCCGCGUCUGAUUAGCUAGUUGGUGAGGUAAAGGCUCACCAAGGCUACGAUCAGUAGCUGGUCUGAGAGGAUGACCAGCCACAUUGGGACUGAGACACGGCCCAAACUCCUACGGGAGGCAGCAGUGGGGAAUCUUGCGCAAUGGGCGAAAGCCUGACGCAGCCAUGCCGCGUGGAUGAUGAAGGUCUUAGGAUUGUAAAAUCCUUUCACCGGUGAAGAUAAUGACUGUAGCCGGAGAAGAAGCCCCGGCUAACUUCGUGCCAGCCGCCGCAGUAACAC
rnacentral:rRNA from 1 species